UCAGCUGUGCUUCAAAGAAGAAAAUUCGGAAAUGAAAUAACAGCUAGGUAGCAAAAUGACACUAUUAAGGUGCUCAUUUUUUUCCGCUUCAGACUAUUAAGACUCACCUAAAGCCAACUCACGAGGAGACAGUCUUCCAUGGGAACAGGCUGUAAGAGCGGCAUCAACUACAAAAGGAACAGCUUCUAGGAUUUCCCAUGCCGGCAUUUGGGUCUUAAAGAAACAUCAUCACUUUCCUGACCUGAUGAGCUACUACUUCCAGAUGUUAAAGUCUGCCCUCCACUUUUAUUCAUCUUUCUGAACAUCAUGUUUAGAAGUCCAUCAACAAUUUGAUGAACUGGAGUUCCAUGAACUAAACCAGAGAGAGUCGAAGCUAUACAUG
rnacentral:lncRNA from 1 species